CAUUGAAUAAGCUGUAGUUGUUCUGGUGACUAUUGUCUCCCUUUAAGUAACUGUUUAGUUAUUCGUAACUUUAAAGGGACACUAUAGUCACCAGAACAACUACAGCUUAUUGUAU